AGUGAACGCUGGCGGUAGGCCUAACACAUGCAAGUCGAACGGCAGCACAGUAAGAGCUUGCUCUUACGGGUGGCGAGUGGCGGACGGGUGAGGAAUACAUCGGAAUCUACUUUUUCGUGGGGGAUAACGUAGGGAAACUUACGCUAAUACCGCAUACGACCUACGGGUGAAAGCAGGGGAUCUUCGGACCUUGCGCGAUUGGAUGGGCCGAUGUCGGAUUAGCUAGUUGGCGGGGUAAAGGCCCACCAAGGCGACGAUCCGUAGCUGGUCUGAGAGGAUGAUCAGCCACACUGGAACUGAGACACGGUCCAGACUCCUACGGGAGGCAGCAGUGGGGAAUAUUGGACAAUGGGCGCAAGCCUGAUCCAGCCAUACCGCGUGGGUGAAGAAGGCCUUCGGGUUGUAAAGCCCUUUUGUUGGGAAAGAAAAGCAGCAGGUUAAUACCCCGCUGUUCUGACGGUACCCAAAGAAUAAGCACCGGCUAACUUCGUG
rnacentral:rRNA from 1 species